CCAGGAAGGAGCUACUUCAUUUCCCGCAAAUGGCGAUAGCAUAUUCCUCUGACAGGAAUUUGCUCUGACCUUUCCAGGUAUCCACUACUCUAGAAUCAAUACAUUUAUGAAAAUCGACCUGUUAUGCCUAAGGAAAUAUUUUGUCAAGAUUCUGCCUUCCUUUGAUUUUUUUUUAAGUCAAAAAGAUACAUUGCUACAUCACCUGUUUUUCAGGUUUUAUUUAGAACUUGAAUAAUCACAAGCAGUUUGUGCCAGUGACUUGCAGAACAAGGUCAGAACCCCAGUUGCAGCAGCCUGGCUUGUCUCUCUGUUAAGGCCUAGAGCUACUUAGAAUUGUUUUCUAGACAUCCUGAGGCUAGUUCUAUUGGCUGCCUCAGUUGUGCAUUGGAUUCCACAAACUCCCACCUCAACAGUAAGCAGAUAGAAGAGCAGUGUUGCUGUGUGUCAGUUCUAUCGCCUACUUUGCCUAAAAUGUGUGCAAUUCAUGCACCUCCUGAUUCUCUUCUGUGAAUGGCCCAGUUUGCUCAGACUCCAAGUAGGUUUGAUAUUGUGGUGGUGAAAGAAGUUUAAAAGAAAUGCUGAGCAGCCAUACUUUGCCUUGUUUCCACAAGCCUUAGCAUAUUCUGUUUCUAGGGCAGGUUUUUGCAUAAAGACAAUGUAUGGAAUGCACUCAUCUCAAUGGGAUUUGGAGACUGUUCACUGUGUGGGUUACAGUUUCUUUUGCUUCUAAAUAAACAACAUUAAUUAUCAUUAUAGCCUAAAAAUCUCCAGAUUUAUUUACAUACCACAAAUUUGAAAUCAGAUUUCAGCCUUUGCUCUUAUUUUGAGAUAGAAAUGUUCAUUGAAACUAUGGGAUUUAUUUGGUAAUGAUUUAAUAAUAAUGUAAAAUAUUUUCCUGUUCUCGGAUGUGAAUGAUGUUCUAGGUCCCUUUACAUAUUUACUCUUUUUAAAUUAAUUAGUUAAUUACAUACUAAUUGUUCCCUCCUUUCCCUGUCCCACCUUGCAGAGUUUCUCCUCCAUCACUCAGAAGGAGUCCCCUUUCCUUCUGAGAGGGUAGACCCACCCCUGGUAUGCCCCAAACCUGGUGCAUCAAGUUUCUGCAGGAUUACUAGUCACAUCCAGUCCAACUGUGUCCAGACAAGGCAGCCCUCUGCCACUUAUGUGUUUGCUCGUUGGUUGGUGGCUCAGUCUCUGGCAGCUUCGAGGGAUACAGACUAGUUAACACUGUUCAUCUUCCUAUAGGGUUGCCAUUUCCUUGAGGGCCUUCUAUCCUUCCUAACUCUUCCAUAGGGACACGUGACCUAUAUCCAAUGUUUGUUUGUGGGUAUCUAUAUCUAUCUCACUCAGCUGCUGGGUAGAGGCUCACAGAGUGGUGCUCUGCUAGGCUCCUGUCUGCAAGCACAACAUAGUAUCAUUAAUAGUGUGAGGGAUUGGUACCUCUCCAUGGGAUGGGUCUCAAAAUGGGCAAGUCACUGGUUGGCUAUUUCUUCAGUCUUUGCUCCAUCUUUGUCCCUGCAUUUCUUUUAGACAGAAGCAAUUUUGGGUCAAAAGUUUUGUAGGUGGAUUAGUGUCCCCAUCCCUCCACUAUGGAUCCUUUCUGGCUCCUGAAGGUGGUAUAUUCAGGUUCUAUAACUCUACUAUUGGGAUUUUGGCAAUGAUCACCGGCAUUGACUCCUGGGAGACUUUCUCAUCCCGGGUCUCUGAAAUUUCCUAGAGAUUUCUCCCCACGACCCACACCCAGCAACUGCAUAUUUCAAUUCAUUCUCCUGGCCCUCUGGGCUUCUCUCCUCUCUAUUGCUAUGCCUGAUGCUGUCCAUACCCCAUUCCUCUCACCUAUCUCUCUCCCACCCAAGUCCCUCCCCACCUGCUUCCCAUGACAGUUUUGUUCCCCUUUCUAAGUGGGAAUCAAGCAUCCUCAUUUGGGCCUUCCUUCUUGUUUAAAUUAUUUGGAUCUGUGGGGUAUAUCAUGGGUAUUCUGAACUUUUUUGGCUAGUAUCCACAUAUCAGUGGGUACAUACCAUGUAUGUCCUUUUGGAUUGGGUUACUUCAAUCAAAAUAUUUUAUAGUUCUACCCAUUUGUCUGCAAAAUUCAUGAUGUCCUUAUUUUAAAUAGCUGAAUAGUAAAUGUACCAUAAUUUCUGUAUCCAUUCUUUGUUUGAAAGACAUCUGGGUUGCUUCCAGUUUCUGGCUAUUAUGAAUAAAGCUGCUAUGAGCAUAAAGG
rnacentral:lncRNA from 1 species